UUAAUCAGCAGGUGUUGGCAUCUGAGUGUCUGGCAUAAGUGCUGCGAGUGAGAGAACAUGUUUUCUUAUCCUGUAGCUGCGAUUUUAAUCGGCACGUGUUGGCAUCUCAGUGUCUGGCAUGGGUGCUGCGAGUGAGAGAAGAUUUUUUUUUCUUGUCCUGUAGCACCGCUUUUAAUCAGCCCGUGUUGGCAUCUGAGUGUCUGGUGGGGGUGGUGUGAGUGAGAGGUUUUGUUCUUGUCUUGUAGCACCGAUUUUAAUCGGCACGUGUUGGUGUCUCUGCAGUAGAUGUUGUGAGAGCAGUUUUCUUGUGUUCUAGCAGCGAUUUUAAUCAGGAGGUGUUGGCAUCUGAGUGUCCAGUGUGAGUUCUGUGAGGAGAGAAGUUUUCUUGUCUUGUAGCACGGAUUUUAAUCGGCAUGUGUUGGCGUCUCGGUGUCUGGGGUAGGUACUGUGAGAGCAGUGUUCUUGUCUUGUAGCAGCGAUUUUAAUCAGGAGGUGUUGGCAUCUGAGUGUCUGGUUGGGGUGGUGUGAG